UACGUAGGGUGCAAGCGUUUGUCCGGAAUUAUUUGGGGCGUAAAGCGCGCGCAGGCGGCUUUUGUAAGUUUGGUGUUUAAGCUCGGAGCUCAACUCCGAUACGCAUCGAAAAACUGCAAGGCUUGAGUGCAGAAGAGGAAAGUGGAAUUCCACGUGUAGCGGUGAAAUGCGUAGAGAUGUGGAGGAACACCAGUGGCGAAGGCGACUUUCUGGGCUGUAACUGACGCUGAGGCGCGAAAAGCGUGGGGGAGCAAACAGG
rnacentral:rRNA from 1 species